GUAAUAACGAUUGUUGAGUCUCUUCCAGAAGAAUUUGAACAAUUUAAGGUCAACUAUAACUCUCUCAAGGAAAAAUGGCCACCCGGUGAGAUGACCGCAAGGAUCGUCCAGGAGGAAGAGAGGAUCAUGAGACAGAAGAAAGACCAUGUUUUUCAUGUUGGCCCUCACAAGAGAAAGCAUGAGGGGCAAGGUUUCCCUAAGCCUCAGAAAAAGCAAUUCAAGAAAGAAGGCCCUAAGCCAUUCAUCCCCAAGCCAUUCAAGGGUAAAAAAGCCGGCAACUCUUCUUCUGGUGGAGAAAAUGCAUCUAACUCCUGCAAAGAGGAGGGACACUAUCAAAGGGACUGCCCAGGCUUUCUAAAAUGGAUGAACAAAAGAGGGAUUCGAUACGAUCCAAACUAUAAG
rnacentral:rRNA from 1 species